rnacentral:rRNA from 1 species
UACGUAGGGGGCAAGCGUUGUCCGGAUUUAUUGGGCGUAAAGAGCGUGUAGGCGGCCUGAAAGGUCAGCUGUGAAAACUCGAGGCUCAACCUCGAGACGUCGGUUGAAACCAUCUGGCUAGAGUCCGGAAGAGGAGUGUGGAAUUCCCGGUGUAGCGGUGAAAUGCGCAGAUAUCGGGAAGAACACCCGUGGCGAAGGCGGCACUCUGGGCCGAUACUGACGCUGAGGAGCGAAAGCGUGGGGAGCGAACAGG